rnacentral:snRNA from 1 species
GUGGCAGCACACAGACUAAAACUGAAACGAUACCGAGAAGAUUAGCGUGGCCCCUGCGCAAGCGUGGCACACAGAUUGCAGAAGUGGUCCGUUGCAAA